rnacentral:rRNA from 1 species
UACGAAGGGGGCUAGCGUUGUUCGGAAUUACUGGGCGUAAAGCGCACGUAGGCGGAUAUUUAAGUCAGGGGUGAAAUCCCGGGGCUCAACCCCGGAACUGCCUUUGAUACUGGAUAUCUUGAGUUCGGAAGAGGUAAGUGGAAUUGCGAGUGUAGAGGUGAAAUUCGUAGAUAUUCGCAGGAACACCAGUGGCGAAGGCGGCUUACUGGUCCGAUACUGACGCUGAGGUGCGAAAGCGUGGGGAGCAAACAGGG